CCUACGGGUGGCAGCAGUGGGGAAUAUUGCACAAUGGGCGAAAGCCUGACCCAGCAACGCCGCGUGAGCGAUGAAGGCCUUCGGGUCGUAAAGCUCUGUCCUCAAGGAAGAUAAUGACGGUACUUGUGGAGGUAGCCCUGGCUAACUACGUUCCAGCAGCCGUGGUAAUACGUAGGGGGCGAGCGUUAUCCGGAAUUACUGGGCGUAAAGGGUGCGUAGGUGGUUUCUUAAGUCAGAGGUGAAAGGCUACGGCUCAAACGUAGUAAGCCUUUGAAACUGGGAAACUUGAGUGCAGGAGAGGAGAGUGGAAUUCCUGGUGUAGCGGUGAAAUGCGUAGAUAUUAGGAGGAACACCAGUUGCGAAGGCGGCUCUCUGGACUGUAACUGACGCUGAGGCACGAAAGCGUGGGGAGCAAACAGGAUUAGAUACCCGUGUAGUC
rnacentral:rRNA from 1 species